UGAGGAAUAUUGGUCAAUGGGCGCAAGCCUGAACCAGCCAUCCCGCGUGAAGGAAGAAUGCGCUAUGCGUUGUAAACUUCUUUUCCAGGGGAAUAAAAUUUCGUACGAGUACGGGACUGAAGGUACCUUGGGAAUAAGCAUCGGCUAACUCCGUGCCAGCAGCCGCGGUAAUACGGAGGAUGCGAGCGUUAUCCGGAUUUAUUGGGUUUAAAGGGUGCGUAGGCGGAAAAAUAAGUCAGUGGUGAAAACCUUCAGCUUAACUGGAGACUUGCCAUUGAUACUGUUAUUCUUGAGUAUAGUUAAGGUAGGCGGAAUGUGUAAUGUAGCGGUGAAAUGCUUAGAUAUUACACAGAACACCAAUUGCGAAGGCAGCUUACUGAGCUAUAACUGACGCUGAUGCACGAAAGCGUGGGGAGCGAACAGG
rnacentral:rRNA from 1 species